GUGAGGAAUUUUCCGCAAUGGGCGAAAGCCUGACGGAGCAAUGCCGCGUGAAGGAUGAAGGCCUAUGGGUUGUAAACUUCUUUUCUUAGAGAAGAAUAUUGACGGUAUCUGAGGAAUAAGCAUCGGCUAACUCUGUGCCAGCAGCCGCGGUAAGACAGAGGAUGCAAGCGUUAUCCGGAAUGAUUGGGCGUAAAGCGUCUGUAGGUGGCUUCAAAAGUCUCCUGUCAAAGAUCAGGGCUUAACCCUGGGCCGGCAGGAGAAACUCUGAGGCUAGAGUUUGGUAGGGGCAGAGGGAAUUCCCGGUGGAGCGGUGAAAUGCGUAGAGAUCGGGAGGAACACCAAAGGCGAAAGCACUCUGCUGGGCCACAACUGACACUGAGAGACGAAAGCGUGGGGAGCGAACAGGAUUAGAAACCCUUGUAGUCC
rnacentral:rRNA from 1 species